UACAGAGGGGGCAAGCGUUGUUCGGAAUUACUGGGCGUAAAGGGCGCGUAGGCGGCCCGCUAAGUCGAACGUGAAAUCCCCAGGCUCAACCUGGGAACUGCGUCCGAUACUGGCAGGCUUGAAUCCGGGAGAGGGAUGUGGAAUUCCAGGUGUAGCGGUGAAAUGCGUAGAUAUCAGGAGGAACACCGGCGGUGUAGACGGCUCGUCUGGACAGUUACUGACGCUGAGGCGCGAAAGCUAGGGGAGCAAAGCGGG
rnacentral:rRNA from 1 species